UCCGAGUGAGUUUAUAGCCUAAGUUAUGGUCUCUGAGACUCACCUGGUAGGAGGACUGACACCUGAAAGUUGUCCUCUGAUGCCACAGACACACUGUGGCGUGCACGCCAACAUGAAGUGCGCGAGUGCGCGCGCGCACACACACUCACACACACACACACUCAUAAGUGUUUUUAAAAAGAGAUUCUUUUCCCAUCCUCCACCUGCUCCACUUAUUCCUGCUCCUUUGCUUAGAGAACAAGCCCCUUAGUCUGAGAGUCCCUUUUGUGACCUUCCCUCUCUCUCCAGCUGGUCUCCCACAAUCUCUGUUCAAUUGCUCUGCUUCUGUAACAAAUUUGCCGUGUCUGGAACCCAAGUCUGUCUUUCACUGAAAGGAAACUUUUGUGGCUUUGCUGAGGCACUGAACACCUUCUGCCCAGAUAUCCUGUUUUGGUGUAUAUGACAAAGGGCUGUUGGGUCUGUGAGAGUCUUACAGUGCGAGAAGCUUAUGCCACACAAAGAUGUUAUCAUCUAGGCACACUUGGCCCCGCCCCUUGGGGGCCUGGCAGAAUGUGUCACCCCUGUGUGCAUAGCAAGCAACACCCUGACUCUGUACCAGGCAGGUGCAAAAGGUCCCUUUGAGAGACAAGUUCCCCGCACACCUGCUCUCUCUUUGCCUGCCUCUCUCUUCCUCUCUAUCUCCCUGUCUGUCUUUCUCUCUCCCCUCUCUCCCUUCCCUUUCCCCUACUCCCUUCCCCCAAUAAAACUUUCCCCCCAGAGAAGAGCCUCUUCCCACGGAAAAAGAACCGUUACAGGUUUUAACCCUCCUGGUCGAGCUGGUCCUCAGCACCAGAACUUUCACAGUUCUGGGGAAUGUGGGAGGCCAGCACCGUGUAUGAAAAUACCUGUCUUUUGCCUUCUUUUCAGUUCUAGAAGUACAGUUUCGCUAUUAAACAGCAGUUUCCAACCUCCAAGCUAGCAAAGAGAGGUGGCUAUCAGGGAAGUGACCAAGGGGGAUAUACCACCUUCUGUCUCUCUCUGGUCUCGCUUCCCCAGCUCCGCCUGUCCUCACCCGGAUAAAAGCAGCGGUUUCCAGCCCCACCCAGGAGCAGCAGCCACAGCCCCGCCCUCAGGCAUUCCAGAAAAACACAUCUCAGGCUCUGUAGGAGGAAAGCGGUGCUGCGCGUCAGGUGACUGUCACCACGCUGAAAACACAAACUCCUAAGCCAAUCAGGAGAGUGGAUGGGCAGCGCACAUUUCCUGCUUCUGAGUCAAGGAAAGCUGCCAGGAUGUGGGCCAUGCCACAAGACAACUCUCACCCAAAGGGAGGUUUGAUCCCCAGUAUCACAUAAACCAGGUGGUGCCGGGAGCAAUCCCAGCCCUCUGGAGGUAGAAGCAGAAGGGUCAGAAGUUCAAGGUAACCAACAGCUGCAUAGUGGAUUCAAGCUCAGGCUGAAAGGGCUGAUCCACACAUGAACUCUUCUCCAAGCCUCAAACGGCUGCCUCUCCUCAGCAUGGCUGGAGAAUGAAUGUUCCUAUCCUCAGCGUGGCUGGAGAAUGGAUGCUCCUACCCUCAGCGUGGCUGGAGAAUCAGUGCCUUCUGUUGAA